AGCGAACGCUGGCGGCAGGCCUAACACAUGCAAGUCGAACGAACCUUUCGGGGUUAGUGGCGGACGGGUGAGUAACACGUGGGAACGUGCCUUUAGGUUCGGAAUAACUCAGGGAAACUUAUGCUAAUACCGAAUGUGCCCUUCGGGGGAAAGAUUUGUCGCCUCUAGAGGGGCCGGCGUCUGAUUAGCUUGUUGGUUGAGGUAAUGGCUCACCCAGGCGACGGUCAGUAGCUGGUACGAGAGAAAGAUCAGCCACGUUGGGACUAGGACACGGCCCAAACUCUUACGAGAGGGAGGAGUGGGGGAUCUAGCGCCAUGGGGGAAGGGCUGACGCUGCCAUGACGCGUAAAUUAUGAUGGUAUUAGGAUUGUAAAGUUCUAUCACCGGGGACGAUAAUGACGGUACCCGGUGAAGAAGCCCCGGCUAACUACGUG
rnacentral:rRNA from 1 species